rnacentral:rRNA from 1 species
AUUGAACGCUGGCGGCAUGCCUUACACAUGCAAGUCGAACGGCAGCACGGGAGCAAUCCUGGUGGCGAGUGGCGAACGGGUGAGUAAUAUAUCGGAACGUGCCCAGUCGUGGGGAUAACGUAGCGAAAGCUACGCUAAUACCGCAUACGAUCUAUGGAUGAAAGCGGGGGAUCGCAAGACCUCGCGCGAUUGGAGCGGCCGAUAUCAGAUUAGGUAGUUGGUGAGGUAAAGGCUCACCAAGCCGACGAUCUGUAGCUGGUCUGAGAGGACGACCAGCCACACUGGGACUGAGACACGGCCCAGACUCCUACGGGAGGCAGCAGUGGGGAAUAUUGGACAAUGGCGAAAGCCUGAUCCAGCAAUGCCGCGUGAGUGAUGAAGGCCUUAGGGCUGUAAAGCUCUUUUUACUGGGGAUGAUAAUGACAGUACCCAGAGAAUAAGCUCCGGCUAACUCCGUGCCAGCAGCCG